AAUUCUCAACCACCCUUUGAUUGAUAUCGAGGGGUGGCUUGGAUUUUGGGAGUUGCCGGCUUGACCCCUUUGGGGGGACGGGUCGGCUCUCCUUAAAAGCAUUAGCGAAAGGCGGCAAGCCCCCUGCAUGCACGGCCUUCGACGUGAUAAUGAUCGUCGUGGCUGGAGUGCGAGGCAUAUAUAUCGACCUUUGCUUCUAAACAUAUCGUACUGGGGACUUUGCUUCGGCGGACGAACUUUUACUUUCUGACG
rnacentral:misc_RNA from 1 species